ensembl:misc_RNA 7SK 7SK RNA
GGUUGUGAGGGCGAUCUGGCUGCAACAUCUGUCACCAGUGUUGAUCCGGCUGAUCUGGCUGGCUAGGUGGGUGUCCCCUUCCUCCUUUACUGCUCCAUGUGCGUCCUUCCUGAAGCUGCGUGCUCUGUCGAAGAGGACAACCUCCCCCAGUCCUAGGUCCAGUCCUAGGUCGAGGGUGUAUGAGUAGCUGCAUACCCCUGCUAAAACCUCCAAACAAACUCUCAAGGUCCAGGAACUCAUUUGAGAGAUGAAUUUGAUCAGCUCCCCUAAGAUUAGGAUUCUAACUACCAGAAAGACUUUUUC